UGCAACAGCACAGCCCAGAGAGGGGGAAUUAGUUCACACUGGAACUGUCUCCACCUGGGAAGGACAGAUGGGCCUUGGAGUUUUAGACCCAGAACAUGUACAACGGCCUGUCACUCUCAUUAUGUCGCCCUCGGACAGCGCUGCUACAGACAAUGGCAAAUCACUGCCUGCAAUUGUCUACGAAGCAGAGAGAUGCAAAUUAGACUCCUUCAGAAUGUGCGCUCUGGUGCAGGCAGAGAAUGGAGACAAUUAGGAAGCCAUUGUUGUCGUCCCUGGGCGGCCUGUUCUGGACGUUUCACAGAAGUAAAAGCAUACACCUGUAUCUGUCGUGACUGUUUUUUUCCACCGGCUCCAUGUUUCCAGGACCCCCGGGCCGUAACCUCGCUCAGGUCCUUGCUUCUUUCUGUCGAGGACAACUGCUGUCCUGGAUGCCACUGCAACAUUUCGAGAAGUUUCCCUGCAGUGAAAACGUCUUACUUUUAGAACUACAAGAACCCAUUUGUUGAGGACCAGCAGGUGGCGUGGUGGUUAAAG